rnacentral:lncRNA from 1 species
AUGUCCACUAUCCAGAACCUACAUUCUGUGGACCUCUUUGAUGAUGCAAGGAGGGUGAUGCCCUGCUUCCUGCCAGCACUGAGGAGUCUAUCCAUAUAUUAACGAUCCAACAGAGACCCUUACUACUUUUCAAGGGUCUGCCAAUAGUUACCAUAAAAAGAAACUACUGAAGCUAUUUAGGGAUGAAUUUGCCUACAGUGGUGCUAUAAUUGAGCCUCCAGAAUAUGAAGUAAUUCAACUACAAGAUGACCAGAGUAGGGACAUAGGACAGUUCCUGAUAGAGGGUACAAAGGCUAAGGAUGAUCAGC